GACGAACGCUGGCGGCGUGCUUAACACAUGCAAGUCGAGCGGUAAGGUUCCUUUGGGCGUAUACGCGCGGCGGACGGGUGGGUAACACGUGAGUAAUCUGCCCUUCACUUCGGGAUUACCACCGGAAACGGUGGCUAAUACCGAAAACGACUAGCCUUCGCACGAGUUGCUGGCGGAGAGUCUUUUCGGUGCAGGAUGUGCUUGCGGCCUAUUAGCUUGUUGGUGGGGUAAUGGCCUACCAAGGCUUCGACGGGUAGCCGGCCUGAGAGGGUGACCGGCCACACUGGGACUGAGACACGGCCCAGACUCCUACGGGAGGCAGCAGUGGGGAAUAUUGGACAAUGGGCGAAAGCCUGAUCCAGCAACGCCGCGUGAGGGAUGACGGCCUUCGGGUUGUAAACCUCUUUCAGUACCGACGAAGCGCCCUGUCGGGUGGUGACGGUAGGUACAGAAGAAGGACCGGCCAACUACGUG
rnacentral:rRNA from 1 species